rnacentral:rRNA from 1 species
GCACUUUAAGCAGUGAAGAAGACUCCGUGGUUAAUACCCACGGACGAUGACAUUAGCUGCAGAAUAAGCACCGGCUAACUCUGUGCCAGCAGCCGCGGUAAUACAGAGGGUGCAAGCGUUAAUCGGAAUUACUGGGCGUAAAGGGAGCGUAGGUGGCUUGAUAAGUCAGAUGUGAAAUCCCCGGGCUUAACCUGGGAACUGCAUCUGAUACUGUUGAGCUAGAGUAGGUGAGAGGAAGGUAGAAUUCCAGGUGUAGCGGUGAAAUGCGUAGAGAUCUGGAGGAAUACCGAUGGCGAAGGCAGCCUUCUGGCAUCAUACUGACACUGAGGCUCGAAAGCGUGGGUAGCAAACAGGAUUAGAUACCCUGGUAGUCCACGCCGUAAACGAUGUCUACUAGUCGUUGG